GAUACUUUCGAUUACAUUUUAUCCAUGAGGAUGCUCAAAUGGAAGAACAGUUUGCCUCAAAUAAGCCAUGUUAUACUCUUCAAGGAAACCCUCUAACUUCGGUUAUCUCAAUCCCUUAAGAAUUCUUUUCAUGUUGAGGCAGCUUGAGACUCUGGAAUGAUAUCCAUCCAACUCCUGUUUUGUUGAAGGAUUGACACUGACAGCAAUUUCCUUAUGAACUUGAGGAAAUUUUCAACCAUAGUUAUGUGAUUCCUGACGCCAAAGAUUGAACAUCUUGACAUCAGAAACAAAGGACGCAUAUGCAGAGUCUCCUUCCCAUUCGAAGUUCUUUUGUUCUAGAGAGAACGUAUUUUGAUAGCUAGGACAGUUGCUAAAAAGCUGUUUGUCAAUUAUUCAAAUGUCUUUCUUGGUAGCCCUUAUGUUAAAAUCAAGAUUGUUCCCUGUGAUCAUGAUAUUGUUAGUUGUAUGAUCGAUUUGCAUUAUUUGGCAUUCUAAAUUUGUAUGCAGAUCUUGGGUUUUGAA